rnacentral:rRNA from 1 species
GCGUGAGUGAUGACGGCCUUAGGGUUGUAAAGCUCUUUUCUCCGGGACGAUAAUGACGGUACCGGAGGAAUAAGCCCCGGCUAACUUCGUGCCAGCAGCCGCGGUAAUACGAAGGGGGCUAGCGUUGCUCGGAAUCACUGGGCGUAAAGGGCGCGUAGGCGGCUGAUUUAGUCGAGGGUGAAAGCCCGUGGCUCAACCACGGAAUGGCCUUCGAUACUGGUUGGCUUGAGACCGGAAGAGGACAGCGGAACUGCGAGUGUAGAGGUGAAAUUCGU